rnacentral:rRNA from 1 species
AACGAAGCUCAAGGAGCUAGUUUUUUUAGAGGAUUUGAUAAGAAUAUAUGUAACAUAAUAUUUAAUUAAUAAAAACUAGGAGUGAAAGGCUAAUCAAAUUGAGUGAUAACUUGUUUCUUUUGAAAUAUAUUGAGUAUGUAGACAAACUUGGAGUUAUAAGGUUCUAAGUAAAAACAAAUGAAUAUUAUUAAUUUAUGUACAGUUUAAUAACGAACAUAAUUCAAAAAUUAAUACUAAAUUAUGUAGAAUGUUGAUAUUAGGAAGAAAUAAGGUUAAUUUAAUAUAUUAUUUAUUCUGUUAAUAUGAGUAUUGUAUAAGAUAAAGAUAAUGAACUCGGCAAACUAUACUUUCAACUGUUUAUCAAAAACAUAGCCUGCUGUUCUAUAUAGUAGGUAAUUUCUGCUCAGUGAUAUUUAAACAGCCGCAGUACCCUGACUGUGCAAAGGUAGCGCAAUCAAUUGGCUUUUAAUUGAAGUCCUGUAUGAAGAAUAUAUGGGGGUUAACUGUAUCAUUUUUAUUUAUUAAAAAUUACUUAGUAGGUGAAAAUACCUAUUUUAAAAUAAUAGACGAGAAGACCCUAGAAAUUUUAAGAAUGUGUUGAAAGAACUUUUUGUUGGGGCAACAGAGUAUUAACAUACAGGGUUAACAUGAAAUUGUUUAGAACGAAGAAAUUACUCUAGGGAUAACAGCAUAAUAUUAAAAAGUUUGUGACCUCGAUGUUGGACUAGGAAAUUAGUGUUUAGAA